UACGUAGGUGGCGAGCGUUGUCCGGAAUUAUUGGGCGUAAAGCGCGCGUAGGCGGGAUAAUAAGUCUUUUGUAAAAGUGCGGGGCUCAGCCCCGUAAUGCGGGAGAAACUGUUAUUCUUGAGUGCAGGAGAGGAAAGCGGAAUUCCCAGUGUAGCGGUGAAAUGCGUAGAUAUUGGGAGGAACACCAGUGGCGAAGGCGGCUUUCUGGACUGUGUCUGACGCUGAGGCGCGAAAGCCAGGGGAGC
rnacentral:rRNA from 1 species